GACGUAGGGCGCGAGCGUUGUCCGGAUUUAUUAGGCGUAAAGAGCUCGUAGGCGGUUCGUCGCGUCGGCUGUGAAAACCCGAGGCUCAACCUCGGGCCUGCAGUGGAUACGGGCAGACUAGAGGUAGGUAGGGGAGAAUGGAAUUCCCGGUGUAGCGGUGAAAUGCGCAGAUAUCGGGAGGAACACCGGUGGCGAAGGCGGUUCUCUGGGCCUGUACUGACGCUGAGGAGCGAAAGCGUGGGGAGCGAACAGG
rnacentral:rRNA from 1 species